rnacentral:rRNA from 1 species
CCUACGGGUGGCUGCAGUGAGGAAUAUUGGUCAAUGGACGAGAGUCUGAACCAGCCAAGUAGCGUGAAGGAUGACUGCCCUAUGGGUUGUAAACUUCUUUUAUAUGGGAAUAAAAUGUUCCACGUGUGGGAUUUUGUAUGUACCAUAUGAAUAAGGAUCGGCUAACUCCGUGCCAGCAGCCGCGGUAAUACGGAGGAUCCGAGCGUUAUCCGGAUUUAUUGGGUUUAAAGGGAGCGUAGGUGGAUUGUUAAGUCAGUUGUGAAAGUUUGCGGCUCAACCGUAAAAUUGCAGUUGAAACUGGCAGUCUUGAGUACAGUAGAGGUGGGCGGAAUGCGUGGUGGAGCGGUGAAAUGCUUAGAUAUCACGAAGAACUCCGAUUGCGAAGGCAGUUCACUGGACUGCAACUGACACUGAGGCUCGAAAGUGUGGGUAUCAAACAGGAUUAGAUACCCUUGUAGUC